rnacentral:lncRNA from 1 species
UUUGGAGACUGGAGGACAUUCGCGUGGGCCUGGCUGACACCGCGUGCUCAUCCACGUCAUGGGGCCCCGUGGGUUCUUCCCAGGGGAGCCCGCACACCUGUGCUGAUGGCAGCAGUCAUGGAGCUGCAUCUGGAUGAAUCAAGGACGCUCCAGGCAGAGCCGCUGUCACUCCAGGCAGAGCCCCCGUCUUCGAGGAGCUGCCCCUCCUCAGAUGACAGGUGUCUCCCGUUUCAGGAAACCGAUUUGCCCCUGGUCCGCCCGUCAUGAUGGGGAGGGCGGGGUUUGCUCCCCGGGAUGAGGAUGCCGGUCAG